CCAAUCAGAGCGCGUCGCCCGCUGGGCCCGCCCCGCGUCUGUCUCCCGGUGCCCCAGCGAUGGGAAGACCUCGGAAGGCUUUUGUGACCUGCGAGGCAGCUUCGCGUUAUGUAUGCUGAAACAUGGAAUUCACACUGCACAUCAAUGAAUUCUGGGAAGAUUAUGGUUUUGGGUGGCCAGAAGAUUCCUUCCCUUUCUGAAUCAUCCCCCCAAUGUGACCUGAAGGCCUGUUAUAGAGGAACCAGAUUUUGUAAAAAAAAAAAAAAACAGGUUCAAAUGAGCAGAAGGACAGUCACAGUUGCAGACGGGGACAAUAGGUGAAGUGACUCCCCUCUGCCUACGACCCCAUGAAGCCGAGGAUGAUUCGGAAUGUUGUCAGCAGCAGGCCCUGGGUAGGCAGCUAUGCCUGUGCUUGAUGAUUCUUCUGCUUUUGAGGAAUAACUUCUGGAGUAUUGCUGGACCCACGUAGAGACUGAAGGACUGAAUUGGUCCAUCAAGCAACCAUACAGCCUGAGCUGCCCAUCGUGAACUGGAAGUUAAGUAACGCCACAGAUUUGAGCAUGGGCAUCAACACUCCAUAAU